ensembl:snoRNA
UACCCCUAGUUUCCUUUCCCACUCAUCUAAACACCGGUCUUGGUGGUGGUAAAGGAGGAACAGUAAUGCCGACGCCGGCCUCACAGCCUUAUAGGCUGGUACAUAGCAUGCAGGCUAGUGUCAAAUAGGC